rnacentral:rRNA from 1 species
GUAGGUGGCGAGCGUUGUCCGGAAUUAUUGGGCGUAAAGCGCGCGCAGGCGGUUCUUUAAGUCUGAUGUGAAAGCCCACGGCUCAACCGUGGAGGGUCAUUGGAAACUGGAGAACUUGAGUACAGAAGAGGAAAGCGGAAUUCCACGUGUAGCGGUGAAAUGCGUAGAGAUGUGGAGGAACACCAGUGGCGAAGGCGGCUUUCUGGUCUGUAACUGACGCUGAGGCGCGAAAGCGUGGGGAGCAAACAGGGAUUAGAUACCCUGGUAGUCCACGCCGUAAACGAUGAGUGCUAAGUGUUAGGGGGGUUUCCGCCCCCUUAGUGCUGCAGCUAACGCAUUAAGCACUCCGCCUGGGGAUACGGCCGCAAGGCUG